CAAGAGGCUGUCCUAGGUUUCUUCUUGUCCAUUCUUUCUUCUUCUUUCUAGUAGAAUGGGAGAGUACAAGGAUACAGGAUGUUUGUGGAACCAAGGACAGAAAGCAAGCUGUGCCUUGCGCAUAAACCGGAAGUCCACAAAAGGAGUCAAGUACAGACACACUCUUUCUCCUUCUGCAUCUUUCCGUUGUCUCGAUUCCGGCUUUGCCUGCUUCUCUGGCCAUGCAGUGGAAACGAAGCCGACUUGUCCCAAGGAUUAAGUUGUCAUCGUUCUGGGGAGGAAAAAAAAAAAUUAAUGAAGUGGCCAAUAAUACGAAGGGAUUCAUGGAUCAGUUUCCUUUCGCUCCCUGGGGUGGAUUUCACUUAGAAGAAAAUUGAAGCUGACAAGACCCUGUUUUCUCCGCAAUUUAUUUAAAACCUUGCACGCAUUUGGAUACCUUGUGAUUUCCAAGAACUGUGUGAAGAUUAAGUUUUGCUUACUGAUACAUGGCAUGUAUUCUUUUCAGUCUUUUGCGUUUGAUUUUGUUUGAUUUCCCUCUGCACCGCAGCGUCUCUGUAAAGGUUUUUAUGCUUUCACCAGCCAUGUCUUAAAUACAUUAAGACAACACACUCGGUGUUCACACUUCCUCAGUAAUGUCUGUACUUGAAAGCCACAUAGUGGCAUGAAACAAUGUGUGUUUUCUUUGAGAGCAGUGCACAUUUUGCAGCCACCAGGAAGGAAAAUUGUAGCUGAAGCAAACCCAUGUUCUCUGACUGACUUGACAACUUGGUCUCUGGCGGUGGAGCACCACUUGUCUCUUCCUUUUGAGAACGUUUGCAAAUAUGCUUUUUUUUUUUUUUCUCUCGGAAACAACUGCACAUUUAUAUAAGAUAUCGGAAUCUGCUUAGCAUCUUCAAGCCACAUAGCAUGACUGUUCUCCGAGCAGGCUGGAAGUGAAGAAACAAAUAUGAAACAUUAAGAACAAAGACAGGGAUAAAUCGCUUCCUUUUGAACCUCUGGAAAUUGAGGUAACUUUUUACAUGUUUUCUGGGUCUUGUCAACAUCUUAUUUUUUCCAUCCACUUUGUUAUGCUUUGUAUUUUCUAAAUGGUGAAAAGUGAGGAACAGAAUGUUUAAAUCGUGGGUGCAAAAGACUUAUAUCCUCUGGAUGAGCCCCAAAUACUGUCUUUACUAGUCAACAUUGAAAAAGCAGAUUACCAAGUUAUCCAGAGUGUGAAACUUUCCCGUUUACACCAAAGCACCUUUGAACCACAUUUUCUUUUUUAAACAUUCCAAGCUGAUUGGAAGGCAUAAUUGGGUACCCUACCUGUAAACAGUCUCCGGGAAUAACUGCACGGAUGCAGGUGUUAGAGACAAGGCAGGAGUCUUGCUUUAAAGAUGGAAAGGGGGGAAAAAGAGAAAAGCCUGGCUUCGCUUGUUUAAGAAGUUGAGAGACCCUGGAGGAUGAAGGCGAAUACGUGAAUGGAGCGAGAUGUGGGCUGGGCGUGCGGAUUUUGAUCCGGGGGAGCGCUGCCUGGCACAGGUCUGUUCCUGGCGGGGCAGCCCCCGCUGCAGAUGCCAAAUAACACUGAGGCUAAUGGGAAAGUUAGGAAGCGUCAUCUAGAGCAUGAAACCUAGCUCCUCAGGACACCAGUUCUUAUGGAAAUCCCAGCAUGUACCUUGUUUUACCUUGCCUGUUAGAGAGGAGAGUCGCACUUUCUAGGGUCAAGAAUAGGAAUUACCAGCCAGCUUGACAAAGACUUUUCCCUGAGCGUCAGGUGAAGGAAAAGCUUUUCUGUGGUCAAACCCACUACACAUAGGAAAUCGGACCCAGAAUUUCUUAACAUUAAAACGGUACUUUCCCUGGAAUGGGAUGUGAGGAUAGAUGUUAAGGUCACAAUCCAUCUUGUCCCCAAAGUAGCAUUCAUUGUAAACUUCUGAGUGCUAAGCCAUUUACUGGUUGAUUUAAAAGAGAGGAAAAGUUAUCCAAGGCCAGAAUGUUUACUCUUUGCCACCUAGAACUCCUUCCGGUUCUUCUUUCACACAUUCCAACUCUUUGGAAGUCUGCAGAGGGAUUUUGACUUAAUGUGUAUUUACUUUAGGAUUUCUUAAAGUAAACAUGGGAAGAAAACUUGACCUGCAAUCAGAAAACAAGCCUCUCCUGUGAUUUGUCUGAAUUAUUCAUUCUGGGGGAGAGGCAGAGCUUUUGUACUUAAUGAGGUUUAAACCAAGGGCAACUGAUGAUGAAGUCUUGCUACAUAAUAAGUUUUCUAACUUGAAAAUUUGAAGAUAUUUAAUGUUUAAAGACUUCACUUAGAAAUGUUAAGUUAUCCACAGAUCUGUGACCCUAUUACUGACAGUUUCUCUUGCAAAAUGAAAUGUGAUACUGCUCAGUAAAAGGAAUAUGUUUUAUUACAGUGAUGUGUUUCAGAAGGGUCUCACUUAGGAGACCUCUGGUUCCCCUUGCUUGCCGUUGGUUCGGGACAUCCAAAGUUUCCUUCUCUUUCCUCUCCCACUUGCAACUACCUUUUCCUUUUUUCCCUCUCCUCUCACUGAGGACAGCCAUGAAAAUCACUCGAGACUGUGUUCAUGAGCAGAUUUAUUAUUCUGUUGAGAAAGCACUGGAAUGUUUUGUGAGAUAUUUUUAUAUGAAGGAGUAGCUUCAGUUCAAACAGCUGGAAUAGUUGGAACAUGUUAGCAUGGUAGCUCUAUCCACAUGACCGCACACACAGUGCUCUGAAAGGAAACCUGGGACUUCGUUUCCAUUGUCUUGAAGGAAGAGUUUGGUUGACUUAAAGAUACAAGAUACACAGGACAUGGAAAAAAAAAUGUUUGCAGUACUCAGAAAAAAAAGCAAAACAGGGGUGUAAGAUGGGAAUGGCUGUCCCUCCAGUAACACAAGGAUGAGAAGCUAUUCCUCCCUCCCAAGAGUGACAAGAUGAGUCCCUGAGGAGCCUUCAAGCUUGCAGAAAGCACGGUCUCUUGGUAUCCUUUCCUCAGUGUGUACAUGAUAGCCAGUGUAAUCAAUACCUUAGGUAAUGAGUCUACACAAGAUAAUCAUCUGUGAAUAUUACUGGUUUUGUAAUCUUUGUUAUAUAAGAGGAUGUUUAGGCUGUACAUACUGGGGUAGAUUAUUGCCUGCCCCUUAUACAUAGGAAUAUGCUGCAUAAUUGCAUAGAACUUCCAUCUCCCUUACCAGCUUGUAGGCAGAGGAAACCAUAUGUGCUACUGCCUUAUAAUUUUCUCAGACACCAAAAGCCAAACCAAACAAAAUCAAAUCAAAUAAGCAGUCUCCUCAUUCCUUUCCUAUAGCAGCAUAUUUUAGAGGCACAUACAAAAUCUAGAGUCUCUAGUUGGGAGUGGAUUUUUUAAAUUUUUCUUUUAUCUUUUUUUUUUUUAUAUAUGAUACACUGAAAUGUGUACUUUCUAACAGGAGGUUGGUACCUAAGAAAUGAGCUAGCAUCAUUCAGAAAACUGUUAUCCUUCAAAAUGAUACAUAGUAAAGGAGAAUGGAAUAAUUCAUGUUGCAUAUUUGUUACCAAUUGUAAUUUGUCUGUAUUAUGAAAGACGUAAUGGUUUGUCGGCUGUCACUGUUGUUUUCUUGUAACAUGAUAUGGAAUAAAGUAUAGCAGA
ensembl:lncRNA